rnacentral:rRNA from 1 species
CCCAGACUCCUACGGGAGGCAGCAGUGAGGAAUAUUGGUCAAUGGGCGGAAGCCUGAACCAGCCAAGUCGCGUGAGGGAAUAAGGCCCUACGGGUCGUAAACCUCUUUUGCCGGGGAGCAAGGGCCGGGACGCGUCCCGGCCCGGAGAGUACCCGGAGAAAAAGCAUCGGCUAACUCCGUGCCAGCAGCCGCGGUAACACGGAGGAUGCGAGCGUUAUCCGGAUUUAUUGGGUUUAAAGGGUGCGUAGGUUGUUUUAUAAGUUAGCGGUGAAAUACCGAUGCUCAACAUCGGGGCUGCCGCUAAUACUGUAGGACUAGAGAUCGGAUGCAGCAGGCGGAAUGUGUAGUGUAGCGGUGAAAUGCAUAGAUAUUACACAGAACACCGAUUGCGAAGGCAGCUUGCUAGGCCGGAUCUGACACUGAGGCACGAAAGCGUGGGGAUCGAACAGGAUUAGAUACCCGAGUAU